ACGUAGCAGUGCCAGUGGCAGCAGCAGCCAUGGGGAAGCCGGGCGUGGAGGCAGCACCGGGCUCGGAGCUGGCCAGGGUUCCCUAGCCUAUGGAGCACGCAGCCACCACAGGCCCCAGGCCUGGACCUCCCUCUCGGCGGGUGGAGAAUGUGAGUCCUCUGGGACUCGCCGCUCCUGCCAUGGGGUUGAAGUCUGCCCGUUCCCCCAAAGGCCAGGAGAGUGCACGUUCCUGCACCCUGGGUCUAAUUUCAGCCAGGAGAGGGACUUUUGCAGCUCAGCCAGGCAGGGAGGCGGGACUGGCGACUGCAUGGGAGUGGGGCCACAGCCCAGCCUGGGACCCACCUGGGGAAUGGGUGGCGGUACCUCCCCAGGUUGUGCUACGAGCCAAGGACUGGCUGCCAGGAGCUCCUGGGGGCACCGCAGUGUGGGCCACCAGCUUGGAAGCAGAGGUCCCACCAGAUCUAGCGCUCAAUAAGGAGCAGCAGCUGCAGAUCUCCAAGGAGCUGGUCGACAUUCAGAUCACAACCCACCACCUACAUGAGCAGCACGAGGCUGAAAUCUUCCAGCUGAAGAGUGAGAUCCUUCGGCUGGAGAGCCGGGUACUGGAGCUGGAGCUGCGAGGAGAUGGCACCAGCCAGGGCUGUGCAGUCCCAGUGGAGUCUGACCCCAGGCACCCCCGGGCAGCAGCCCAAGAGCUCAGACACAAAGCCCAGGUGCCUGGACACUCUGAUGACCACAGAUUCCAGGUGCAGCCCAAGAACACCAUGAAUCCCGAGAAUGAGCAGCACAGGCUGGGGAGCGGCGUGAGUGUGCAGCCACCUAGCUCAGGGGAGAGGGCAGCACCAGAGACCCCAAGCCUAGGGUCUCAUCUAGCCAGCCCUGUGUGCCCCACAGCUGCAGGGGGAAGUGAAGCGGGUGCUGGAGCGUCAGGAGGCCUGGCAGCAGGCACUGGUGACGCGUGUGUGAGUGGCCAUCUCACCUGGGGCCCCAUCCUGGAGCAGAGAGAACCCCUGAUCGUGGGCCUGCUGAGCCUCACCCCCGUGUCUUCAGGGCAACCCUGGGCCGGCAGCUGCAGGGAGCCCGAGAGGAGGCCAGGGCAGCCGGGCAGCGACUGGCCACACAGGCUGUGGUGAGGCUCUGCCCUGACUGCUUGGAGACCUGGAGGGUGGGGGCCCCAGAAGCUCAGCCGGGGUCCACUCUCAGGGCACAGGUGGAGGGCUGCUUCCACCCCAGGUGCUGUGCAGCUGCCAAGGCCAGCUCCGUCAGGCAGAGGCCGAAAAUGCCCGGCUGCAGCUGCAGCUCAAGAAACUGAAGGAUGAGUACGUCCUACGGCUUCAGCACUGCGCCCGGCAGGCAGUGGUGAGCCCUGCAGGAGCACCCUGAGGCCUAGGGAGCCCAAGCCUGGCCUGGGUGUGCUGGAUAGCUUCAGGGAGACCCCAGGGCCCCAGCACUGCUCAGCCUGCUGGGGUGGGGGGAUGGUUGGAAAAGAUGGGGGGUGGGCCCCAUGCGGACCCAGCCCGCCGCCUCCAGGAGCACGCAGAUGGUGCAGGCCAAGCACCAGCCACCACGGCCCUCCGGACAUUCCUGGAGGCGACUCUGGAGGACAUCCGGGCAGCGCACCGCAGCCGUGAGCAGCAGCUGGCCCGGGCUGCCCGCAGCUACCACAAGAGGCUGGUGGAUCUGAGCCGCAGGCAUGAGGAGCUGCUGGUUGCCUACAGGUGGGCCCCGCUGGGAUGGGAGGUGUCAGGCAUCUGUGGGUCUCUAAGCCUCUGUGCCUCAAAGGCUUGGUGUGCAGCAGGAGUGGCCCCAGACAGACACUAGCCUACCCUGACAGGGCACCUGGGAACCCCCAAGCUAUUUUUGACAUAGCCAGCUUGGACCUGGAACCAUUGCCCGUGCCCCUGGUCACUGACUUCAGCCAUCGGGAGGACCAGGUGAGGCUAGAGAUCCCCAGAAGCUCCAGGCCCGGGUGCCCCCCACCCACCCACUGCCCCACACUGGCCCCAGGCCUCAUCUUGGGCUCAACAGAGACCUCAGCCCCGGGCCUCUGAGGAGCUUGCCUUGUUCAGCCAACUGAAACGUCCCCACCACAAACCUCUGUAGCACGGCGGGCCUGGGGCACUGCUCUCAUCCCCAAAAAAGAGACCCGGUGGAGCCUCCCAGGGGGGAACGUCAGAGCCACAGUGAGUGCCCUCAUGGGUGUGGGGGAGGCCUGUGGGGGAUGGGCAGAGAGCACAACGCCUGCACCCUGGGGCCCCCAGUUGCUCCACCAAGUCCCCGCCAGACAGGGUCUGGUCACAGCAAUGCACUCAGUGGCACGUCCCCACCCUGGGGUCCCUCCGUGGGUCCCGGGGACACUGAUAAUCACAGGAAAGAGAAGAGGGGCUGCUGCAGGUGGAGCUGGCCUUGAACACGGAGGAUCAGGGAGAGCACACCUGAGGGAGGUUUCCGCUGAGACCUGGAGGAUGCCAGGGGUGGGAGCAGGGCGCCUGGUGACCAGGCCAGCCCUUGCCUCUGGGCCUCCAUGUUCCCAGCUGUACAAUGGGCAGGGCUCCCCAAGGACCAUUUCCUGGGGUUUAGGGCACACCCGUGUGGGGGUGGCAUCCCUGUUGAUGCUGGAGUCACUGUCUGGGCUGGCCUUGUGGUUUAGCCCUCCCCGAGCAGCCAGCAGACCCCCUGGGCCCGGGCUGUCCCCAUACACGGAUGGCUCCAAGGCCUGGGGGAGGGGCGCCACAGGAGCACAGGGGGACCCAUGCCUCCCUCACUCACUCCCAGGUGUCCCCUCCCGGCUCUGGGAACCUGACUCGGCACGGUCACGUCUGUCCCUGUGUCACCAUGCCAGCUCUCAAAACCACUCCUCCUUUCCUCUCCCCUCACAGGGGCCUGGACGCUGCAUCCUGGGCCCAGAUCCACCAGAAGCUCCGGGACUUCUCCCGCAGCACCCAGGUAGGAGGCAAGGGCUGGCCCAGGCCCCUCCUCACACCAUGCCCUAGCUCAUGGCUUACAUCCCCAUGCCAGGCAGAGCUGGAACGGGAGCGGGCACAGCUGCUGGUCCGGGCCACGAUGGCUGAAGAGCAACUUUCUGAGCUACAGGAGUACGUGGACCAGCACCUGGGCAGGUGGGCAGAGGGAGCUGGGUGUGACCCCAGGGCCCUGGUCUGGUCGGAAUGAAGGAUGAUGGCUGCCUCAGGCGCUAGAGGCAGACCUGUCCACAGCUGGGCAGGUCACUUAAGCAUGGUUCCUCUGAGCAGGUACAAGCACGAAAUCCUGAGGCUGAGGAAGCUGGCAGGUGCAGGGGACCCCUGGAAAGUGGGGGCUGUGCCUCCAGCCAAGCCCCAGCAUCCAAGGACCGGCAGCCACUAGGCCGUCUCCCAAGGAGCAGAGCAGAGCCCGUCAGCCAGCACAGAACCCUCCCACCCAGCCCCCCAUAAAACAUGAGUCAGGAUAGAACCCA
rnacentral:sRNA from 1 species